rnacentral:rRNA from 1 species
AUGAACGCUGGCGGCGUGCCUAAUACAUGCAAGUCGAGCGAACAGACGAGGAGCUUGCUCCUCUGACGUUAGCGGCGGACGGGUGAGUAACACGUGGAUAACCUACCUAUAAGACUGGGAUAACUUCGGGAAACCGGAGCUAAUACCGGAUAAUAUAUUGAACCGCAUGGUUCAAUAGUGAAAGACGGUUUUGCUGUCACUUAUAGAUGGAUCCGCGCCGCAUUAGCUAGUUGGUAAGGUGACGGCUUACCAAGGCAACGAUGCGUAGCCGACCUGAGAGGGUGAUCGGCCACACUGGAACUGAGACACGGUCCAGACUCCUACGGGAGGCAGCAGUAGGGAAUCUUCCGCAAAGGGCGAAAGCUUGACGGAGCAACGCCGCGUGAGUGAUGAAGGUCUUCGGAUCGUAAAACUCUGUUAUUAGGGAAGAACAAAUGUGUAAGUAACUAUGCACGUCUUGACGGUACCUAAUCAGAAAGCCACGGCUAACUACGUG